GGAAAGGCGCGCGAUACAGGGUGACAGCCCCGUACACAAAAAUGCACAUGCUGUGAGCUCGAUGAGUAGGGCGGGACACGUGGUAUCCUGUCUGAAUAUGGGGGGACCAUCCUCCAAGGCUAAAUACUCCUGACUGACCGAUAGUGAACCAGUACCGUGAGGGAAAGGCGAAAAGAACCCCGGCGAGGGGAGUGAAAAAGAACCUGAAACCGUGUACGUACAAGCAGUGGGAGCACGCUUAGGCGUGUGACUGCGUACCUUUUGUAUAAUGGGUCAGCGACUUAUAUUCUGUAGCAAGGUUAACCGAAUAGGGGAGCCGAAGGGAAACCGAGUCUUAACUGGGCGUUAAGUUGCAGGGUAUAGACCCGAAACCCGGUGAUCUAGCCAUGGGCAGGUUGAAGGUUGGGUAACACUAACUGGAGGACCGAACCGACUAAUGUUGAAAAAUUAGCGGAUGACUUGUGGCUGGGGGUGAAAGGCCAAUCAAACCGGGAGAUAGCUGGUUCUCCCCGAAAGCUAUUUAGGUAGCGCCUCGUGAAUUCAUCUCCGGGGGUAGAGCACUGUUUCGGCAAGGGGGUCAUCCCGACUUACCAACCCGAUGCAAACUGCGAAUACCGGAGAAUGUUAUCACGGGAGACACACGGCGGGUGCUAACGUCCGUCGUGAAGAGGGAAACAACCCAGACCGCCAGCUAAGGUCCCAAAGUCAUGGUUAAGUGGGAAACGAUGUGGGAAGGCCCAGACAGCCAGGAUGUUGGCUUAGAAGCAGCCAUCAUUUAAAGAAAGCGUAA
rnacentral:rRNA from 1 species